rnacentral:ncRNA from 1 species
UGCAAUUCGAUGAAGGAACUAGUAUGUUUGUUUCGAUUGCUAUAGAGAGAAGAACCUUGGCUGCAAGUUCUUCCAAUCUACAAACAGAACCCAUUCCCGAGAAAUCUGUGAGGAACUGAUCGUUCCCCUUACGUUACAAGGGUUGAGUGAACACAUAUGAUUUUUCCUAUGUGUUAAUAAAGGUGGUACCACGGAGUCUUUCGUCCUUUAG